rnacentral:rRNA from 1 species
GGCAGCAGCCACAUCACUGUGCAACACACUGAAGCUAAGCAGGUGUGAGCCUGGCUAGUACCUGGAUGGGAGACCUCCUGGGAAAAACUAAGCUUGCUGCUGGAA